rnacentral:rRNA from 1 species
GCGCACCAGGCGCGAAUACUUUACAAUGUGCGAAAGCACGAUAAGGGAACUCUGAGUGCCUCCUAAGGAGGCUGUUCUGAUGUCUAAAAAGCAACAGAAGUAAGGGCUGGGUAAGACCGGUGCCAGCCGCCGCGGUAACACCGGCAGCCCAAGUGGUAGCCACGUUUAUUGGGUCUAAAGCGUUCGUAGCCGGCCAGGUAAGUUCCUUGGUAAAUUUAGCCGCUUAACGGUUAAGCUUUCAGGGAAUACUGCUUGGCUUGGGACUGGGAGAGGUCAGAGGUACUCCGGGGGUAGGGGUGAAAUCUAUUAAUCCCUGGGGGACCACCGGUAGCGAAGGCGUCUGACCAGACCAGGUCCGACGGUGAGGGACGAAGGCUAGGGGCGCGAACCGGAUUAGAUACCCCGGUAGU